GCGGGCGUGGCGGAAUUGGUAGACGCACUGGAUUUAGGUUCCAGCGGCGCAAGUCGUGGGGGUUCAAAUCCCUCCGCCCGCACCA
rnacentral:tRNA from 1 species